GGCACCGCGCCAAGCCGUUGGCGCUACGGCGGCGACGGGGCCUCCUCUCUCAGUCUACCCUGCCUCUUGUAGUGCGUUAAGUCUUGUAGUUUUUGGUUUUGUGUUCGAGAAAACGUGCACCUUUUUGGUUGUGGUCACGCCAUAUUGUACGCGGAGGCUCCAUGUUUGAGGUUGAGGCUUGGAGGGCGUCAUAUUCAUGGAGAGGUGGUCAGUGACAAGGUGCAUCUUUUAAAGUUGACAGCCACAGUCGGAGAAACGAAGGCGCCGCUAUGGUCUGCCGUCUCGCCACUAAUGGCGGGAAAGACAUAAGCGCCGUUUAACCUGUGAGCGGGACACUACCCCUGACUGGACAACACGACGGAGGAAAAUAGAUACCAUUUUUCAUGGCUGCGCAGUGUGAACAGGAACAACAUAGCAAGUCACAAGUCUGAUGCCUCCAGCCAUCACUACCUUUUUAUUUAUCCAUAAUCAUAACGAAGAAAUAUGGAAACAUGAUGCCGAUUUCUAGACUGUCUUUUGCAGCGUAUGACACUAUGCACAUCGCGGUCACAUAUUUUAGUUGGCUAUACUCACACAAGUAUUUAAACGAGGUCUACCUGAACUGCCUAUUUGGAAAUUAUAGAUCAUUUUUUCCCGCCACCUAUUUUGCUCUACGAUAAAAGCUCUGUAAGUUAUUUCGAUGAGAUUU
rnacentral:lncRNA from 1 species